UGAGGAACAUGACCUUCGGCGGGGGAGUAGCCGGCCCAACGGCCGGGUAAUACCGCGUACGACCACAUGGGGACAUCCCUGAGUGGUGAAAGCAGCAAUGCGCCGAUGGAGUGCCUCGCGGCCUAUCAGCUAGUUGGUGAGGUAACGGCUCACCAAGGCGACGACGGGUAGCUGGUCUGAGAGGAUGGCCAGCCACAUUGGGACUGAGACACGGCCCAGACCUNUACCGGGAGG
rnacentral:rRNA from 1 species